CGAAAGUGGUUUCCUUCAACCUCCAAAGUCCAGGGUGUGGUGGGAAAAGGGAGAUCCCUCCUUUCUGGAAGAAAGAUUCAAAAGCACUUAGCUGUCCCAAGGGAACAGAGCAAUCCCACCCUGCAGACCAUCCAGCUCUAAGCCCACUAAUUCCGUCACCACCUGUUUCUCAGCCAAGGGGACAGAGCGCCAGGGUCCCCGAGGUCUCCAGCCCUUGCGUAUCCUACCCCAGGCUCCCGGGCUCUGAGCAGAGCUGCAGGCUCCGCGGACAUGCACAGCAUUCAGUCCAGGACCCACCCGGGACUGUCUGGGAGGCCAAGGUGGCUGAGGCACCUUAUGGAAAAACCAUUUCCCAUCUGGCAGCCCAGUGAAGUUUCCUCAGCAUAUCCUCUGCUGGUGAGACUCCCCAUCCCGUGGACCUCAGAGCUCUCGGACAAAGACGACUGGCUGACCGCAGGAAAAAAGCACAGCGCCCAGAGGGUCCAUAACUUUCAUCGGAUUCACAAAGGAACCCAUGCUGUAGGUCGAAGUCAGGUUCUCCCGGAAGCAAGUCCUGAGAUGAAGAUUCACACACCAGUCCGCAUUUAACGGGAGGUCAAUAGAGUUGAGGACUUCUUCUACAUCUUGAUGGGAAGAGUAUCAGAAAAUGUGCAGACAUGUUUUAAAACCACCACACGCCCCUUCUGUGUGCCAAGCACUGGACAAGGCUCUUGUGACAGACUGGGGCCUUCUCAUGAAGUUCAGCCAUCUUUUCAUGCAGAUGAAAAGAAGACUCUGGUCCACUCCCACCUCCAUCCCCAAAUUCUCCUGGCCAGGCAUCCCCAGCCACUUAAGUUGGAAGUAGAUGGUAGCCAUCCUAGAUUUAUUUCUCGAUUUCCCUCAUAUCUUGUAAGUCUGCUAGUAAGUCUUGUUGUUUAGGUCUCAAAAUACUUCUCAAAUCCAUCCACUCCUCUUCCUUUCCAUGGUCACUACAGCCACCAGCAUCUCUUACCCAGAUGACUGCACCAGCCUUCUAAAAACCCCCAGCUUCUGCUCUUAUCCCCUCUCCUGUCCCUUCUCCUUACAGUAGCCAGAGUGAGUUUAAAAAAUUAGAUCAGGUUGCAGUUUCUUAAAUAACUGUAUUGAGGUGCAGUCAACAUACAAUUAACUAUAUAUUUAAAGUGGAAAAGUUAUGACAUAUGUAUACCUUCAUGAAAUCAUCAGUAUGAUAAAGAACAUACCUAUUGCCCUAAAAAGGUUCCUCAUGCUCCUUUGAAAUUGAACCCUCCCUCCCCUACCUCCCAUCCCCAGGCAGCAACUGAUCUGUCUUCUGUCACUAUAGACUAGUUAACAUUUUCUAGAAUUUGUAUAUAAAUUGAACAGUAUACUAUAUACUCUCUUUUAUAUGGCUUAUUUUGAGAUUUAUCCAUGUUUUUCACUAUAUCAGUAAUUUGUUCCUUUUUAUUGUUGAGUAGUAUUCCAUUGUAUGGAUGUACCACAGUUUGUUUAACCAUUCAUUUGAUGAUGUACAUUUGGGUUGUUUUCAGUUUUUAGUUACUAUGUAUAAAGGUGUUAUAAACAUUCACAUAUAGGACUUUGUGUGGAAUUAAGCUGUCAUCUCUCUUGGGUAAAUACCUAGAAGAGUAAUCAAGGGGGAGAUGUUUGUUUAACUUUUUGAGAAAUUGCCAAAAUGUUUCCCAAAGUGUUUACACUAUUUUACAGUCCCACCAGCAGGGCAGGAGUGUUAUAGUAUUUUAUGUAUAUAUAUGUUUCACAUGCUUUUCAACACUUGGUAAGAUCAGUCUUUUAAUUUUAGCUUUCCUAAAAGUGGAUGUGUAAUUGUAUUUUCACUUACAGUUCCCUGAUAACCAAGGAGCAUGUUUUCAUGUUCAUAUUUGCUAUUUGUUUAUCUUCUUUGGAGAAGUGUCUUUUCAAGUUUUGCUCAUAUUGAAAAAAUUUGGAUUUUUUUUCUGUAUUCCUA